UACGAAGGGGGCUAGCGUUGUUCGGAAUUACUGGGCGUAAAGCGCGCGCAGGCGGCUAUCCAAGUCAGUGGUGAAAGCCCGGAGCUCAACUCCGGAACUGCCAUUGAAACUGUUUAGCUUGAGGACGAGAGAGGUGAGUGGAAUUCCCAGUGUAGAGGUGAAAUUCGUAGAUAUUGGGAAGAACACCGGUGGCGAAGGCGGGUCUCUGGGCCGAUACUGACGCUGAGGAGCGAAAGCGUGGGGAGCAAACAGG
rnacentral:rRNA from 1 species